UGGGAACGGAAAAAAAUAAAUAUGACUCAAAUAAAACAGAUAAUUUGUCUAUGCACCAGAAAUUUGAUCAAUUAAUUGAUGAUUAUUUUCCCGAUUUAAAAGACGAAAAAGAAGAGAAAAUAGAAAGAUGUCCAAAAACGGGUGAUUAUGUAUUUAAGAAAAUAAAUAGGGACAAAGAAGAUUAUGUGAGAAUAUAUGAAAGUGACGGUCCUCCUAUAUUUACCGAUUUGGUGGAAAAUGAAUCUAAAAUUGGAACAGUACAUAUUACAAAUCCUUUGCCUAAAAUUGAAAGAAAAAAUGAGUUAAAGAAAGAUUACUUAGAGUGGCUAAAAAUGGAGAGAUUGAUGAAACCCAAUGAAAGAAGAGAAGAAUAUGAACUAAUGCAAAAUAAAUAUUUAGAAACUAUAAAAUUAUCAAACGAAAUAAAACAAGAUAUUAAACUGGCCAGAGUAAUUAAAUCACAUUAUCCUAGAGGAAUAGUUGGUGUUGAUUCUGUAUAUAAUGAAAACACUGUGUUAUAUAAAGAUAAGUAUGAAGAAAUUAAAAAUAAAGAAAAAUAUAAAAAUAAAAUAUCUCAAGAACGAAGGGAAGCGCUUCAAAAACAAAAUAACAGAAAUGGUGAUAUACUAGCUUUUGAUCCUACUAGUAAAACGUAAAUCCCCAACUAAACCGUUACUGAUGAAUGUUUUUUUUUUUCUUUUUUUUUUUUUUAAUAUUAACAAAAGAUAUGGAAAUAUAUUGUGCAUACAUCUAUGUGUAAUUUACGUAUUUUACUACAUCCAUCAAUAUGAUUUUAUAAAAAAGAGUGUACAUUUAUAAAUUUUUUAUUAUUUGUUUAACAAUAAUUGGACAAACUAUAUAUUGUGAAUUUUUUUAAAUUAUUUGAUUUUAUUUUUAAUACUGCGUUUGUUUAUAUAUUUUUAUAUUAUUUCGUUUAUCAAAUUAAACAUUACAAGUAAGCAAUUAUGGAAAAUAUAUAUAUAUAUAUGAAUAAAACACAAAAAAAAAAAAAAAAAAAGUUAUUU
rnacentral:lncRNA from 1 species